UGGGGAAUAUUGGACAAUGGGCGCAAGCCUGAUCCAGCCAUGCCGCGUGAGUGAUGAAGGCCCUAGGGUUGUAAAGCUCUUUCGCCAGGGACGAUAAUGACGGUACCUGGAUAAGAAGCCCCGGCUAACUUCGUGCCAGCAGCCGCGGUAAUACGAAGGGGGCUAGCGUUGUUCGGAAUCACUGGGCGUAAAGCGCACGUAGGCGGACUGUUAAGUCAGAGGUGAAAUCCUGGGGCUCAACCCCAGAACUGCCUUUGAUACUGGCGGUCUUGAGUGUGGAAGAGGUUGGUGGAACUCCGAGUGUAGAGGUGAAAUUCGUAGAUAUUCGGAAGAACACCAGUGGCGAAGGCGGCCAACUGGUCCACUACUGACGCUGAGGUGCGAAAGCGUGGGGAGCAAACAGG
rnacentral:rRNA from 1 species